rnacentral:rRNA from 1 species
AGCAGCCGCGGUAAUUCCAGCUCCAAUAGCGUAUAUUAAAGUUGUUGCAGUUAAAAAGCUCGUAGUUGAAUUUCGGGGUUAGUAGGUUGGUCAUGCCUCUGGUAUGUAUUGAUCUCACUGAUUCCUCCUUCCUUAUGAACCGUAAUGCCAUUAAUUUGGUGUUGCGGGGAAUUUGGACUGUUACUUUGAAAAAAUUAGAGUGUUUAAAGCAGGCUAACGCUUGAAUACAUUAGCAUGGAAUAAUGAAAUAGGACGUUCGAUCUUAUUUUGUUGGUUUCUAGGAUUGACGUAAUGAUUAAUAGGGAUAGUUGGGGGCAUUAGUAUUCAAUUGUCAGAGGUGAAAUUCUUGGAUUUAUUGAAGACUAACUACUGCGAAAGCAUUUGCCAAGGAUGUUUUCAUUAAUCAAGAACGAAAGUUAGGGGAUCGAAGACGAUCAGAUACCGUCGUAGUCUUAACCAUAAACUAUGCCGACUAGGGAUCGGAUGAUGUUAAUUUUUAAUGACUCAUUCGGCGCCUUAC